UACGGAGGGAGCUAGCGUUGUUCGGAAUUACUGGGCGUAAAGCGCACGUAGGCGGCUAUUCAAGUCGGGGGUGAAAGCCCGGGGCUCAACCCCGGAACUGCCCUCGAAACUAGGUAGCUAGAAUCUUGGAGAGGUCAGUGGAAUUCCGAGUGUAGAGGUGAAAUUCGUAGAUAUUCGGAAGAACACCAGUGGCGAAGGCGACUGACUGGACAAGUAUUGACGCUGAUGCGCGAAAGCCAGGGGAGCGAACGGG
rnacentral:rRNA from 1 species